rnacentral:rRNA from 1 species
AAACCCUGAUGCAGCCAUGCCGCGUGUGUGAAGAAGGCCUUCGGGUUGUAAAGCACUUUCAGUCAGGAGGAAGGUGGUGUAGCUAAUAUCUGCACCAAUUGACGUUACUGACAGAAGAAGCACCGGCUAACUCCGUGCCAGCAGCCGCGGUAAUACGAAGGGGGCUAGCGUUGCUCGGAAUCACUGGGCGUAAAGCGCACGUAGGCGGAUCGUUAAGUCAGGGGUGAAAUCCUGGGGCUCAACCUCAGAACUGCCCUUGAUACUGGCGAUCUCGAGUUCGAGAGAGGUUGGUGGAACUCCGAGUGUAGAGGUGAAAUUCGUAGAUAUUCGGAAGAACACCAGUGGCGAAGGCGGCCAACUGGCUCGAUACUGACGCUGAGGUGCGAAAGCGUGGGGAGCAAACA